AUUGAACGCUGGCGGCAUGCCUUACACAUGCAAGUCGAACGGCAGCACGGGAGCAAUCCUGGUGGCGAGUGGCGAACGGGUGAGUAAUAUAUCGGAACGUGCCCAGUCGUGGGGGAUAACGCAGCGAAAGCUGUGCUAAUACCGCAUACGAUCUCUGGAUGAAAGCGGGGGACUCGCAAGGGCCUCGCGCGAUUGGAGCGGCCGAUAUCAGAUUAGGUAGUUGGUGAGGUAAAGGCUCACCAAGGCGACGAUCAGUAGCUGGUCUGAGAGGACGACCAGCCACACUGGAACUGAGACACGGUCCAGACUCCUACGGGAGGCAGCAGUGGGGAAUUUUGGACAAUGGGCGCAAGCCUGAUCCAGCCAUUCCGCGUGAGUGAAGAAGGCCUUCGGGUUGUAAAGCUCUUUCGCAAGGGAAGAAAACUUACUUUCUAAUAAAGAGUGAGGUUGACGGUACCUUGAUAAGAAGCACCGGCUAACUACGUG
rnacentral:rRNA from 1 species